GUAAAUAAUUAAGGGCGUAUGGUGGAUGCCUAGGCUCUCAGAGGCGAUGAAGGACGUGAUAAGCUGCGAAAAGCUCCGUUUAGGUGCAAAUAACCUUUGAUGCGGAGAUCUCCGAAUGGGAUAACCCAAUAUGUUGAAGACAUAUUAUACCGUAAGGUAGGCAAACGCAGGGAACUGAAACAUCUAAGUACCUGCAGGAGAAGAAAACAAACGUGAUUCCCCCAGUAGCGGCGAGCGAACGGGGAAAAGCCCAAACCGUUAUUGUUUCGGCAUUAACGGGGUAGUAGGACUGCAAGCUUGAUGAAAUAAAUGAAAUGGAACACCUUGGAAAAUGUGAUCACAGAGGGUGAUAAUCCCGUACAUGCAAGUUUAUGAAUCAUAGCAGACUCCUGAGUAAGUCGGGACACGUGUAAUCCUGACCGAAUCCGCCGGGACCAUCCGGCAAGGCUAAAUACUCCUGAGAGACCGAUAGUGAACCAGUACCGUGAGGGAAAGGUGAAAAGCACUUCGAACAGAAGAGUGAAAUAGUCCCUGAACCCAUACGCCUACAAGCUGUCGGAGCCGCUUCGUGCGGUGACGGCGUGCCUUUUGCAUAAUGAGCCUACGAGUUACUCAUCACCAGCGAGGUUAAGUACUUCAGGUACGUAAGCCGAAGCGAAAGCGAGUCUGAAUAGGGCGUCAAGUUGGUGGUGGUAGACGCGAAACCUUAGUGAUCUACCCAUGGGCAGGGUGAAGGUUUGGUAACACAAACUGGAGGCCCGAACCGGUAAACGUUGAAAAGUUUUCGGAUGACCUGUGGGUAGGGGUGAAAGGCCAAUCAAACUGGGAAAUAGCUCGUACUCUCCGAAAUGCAUUUAGGUGCAGCCUCUGUUGUUUUGUUCUAGAGGUAGAGCUACUGAUUGGAUGCGAGGGCUUCACCGCCUAUCAAAUCCGGCCAAACUCCGAAUGCUAGAACAUGAAGACAGGGAGUGAGCCAGCGGGUGCUAAGGUCCGUUGACGAAAGAGGGAGAACUCAGACCAUCAGCUAAGGUCCCCAAUUAUAUGCUAAGUUGGAAUUAAAACGGGGUGGGACUGCUUAGACAGCUAGGAUGUUGGCUUGGAAGCAGCCAUUCAUUUAAAGAGUGCGUAACAGCUCACUAGUCGAGCGGUCCUGCAUGGAUAAUACGCGGGCAUAAGCAUAUAACCGAAGCUAUGGGAUUGUAGAUGAUACAAUCGGUAGGAGAGCAUUCCAUUCAGCGUAGAAGCAGUAUCGUGAGGUAUUGUGGAGCGGAUGGAAAAGCAAAUGUAGGCAUAAGUAACGAUAAUGCGGGUGAGAACCCCGCACGCCGAAAGAUCAAGGAUUCCCCGGCAAUGUCAAUCAUCCGGGGGUAAGUCGGAUCCUAAGGGUAAGCCGAGUGGCGAUCCCGAUGGCAAACAGGUUAAUAUUCCUGUACUGAUCAUAACUGCGAUGCAGCGACGCAGAGGUGACACUGCUGCGUACUGACGGAAUAGUACGUUGAAACCCGUAUUCUUUGAUACCGGUAGUGAAGCACGCCGGUAGAGAUGAAAGGUGAUAGUACCGCAAUGCUUCGGUUGCGCGGAUAAUGCAGGUAAGCUGACUGCCAAGAAAACCUGCUAAGCUUCAGGUAAUGAUCAUCCGUACUGUAAACGGACACACGUGAUCAGGUAGAAAAUACUAAGGCGCUCGAGAGAUUCAUGGUUAAGGAACUAGGCAAAAUGGUCCUGUAACUUCGGGAUAAAGGACGCUCUUGUGAAAGAGCCGCAGAUAAUAGGCCCAGGCGACUGUUUACCAAAAACACAUGGCUAUGCUAAUUCGCAAGAAGAUGUAUAUGGCCUGACACCUGCCCGGUGCCGGAAGGUUAAGAGGAGAGCUCAGAUGUAAGUCGAAGGUUUGAAUUGAAGCCCCGGUAAACGGCGGCCGUAACUAUAACGGUCCUAAGGUAGCGAAAUUCCUUGUCGGGU
rnacentral:rRNA from 1 species